CUUUGCUUCCCACACACUUCCAUGUUGGAUGCCAUUCUGUUGGACUGCCCCUCUGCUGCCAUUUGUCUCACAGCAACAAAAUGUAUUGGAGUAUUGGUGGGAAGGUUCAGCUUCUACUACCCCACCUGCCGUGUUCCCAUCUAAUGUUGUGGGCUGACAUAAUGAAAUAGGAGGCAUUAUUUUUGAAACGGUCCUCCUAGAACAUAUGUAGAGUAAUAUAUGCAAAAUAGAGAAUGUUUUGAUAGUAGAUUUGUUCUUUUGGUAUCCUAUUAAUUAUUUAUUUGAUCUACAGUUGCAAUAGCGUUAUUUGUAGGGCUUCUCAUUAACUGACGUGCAUAUUUUAACAAUGUGUUUGAGUACUCCCUCAUUUCUCCUUUACCCCCUGCAGCUGAAGGGGGGGGAGGGGAAGAGGUGUUCUUUGUAGCUUUGAUUGCAUUAGAG
ensembl:lncRNA